UACGGGGGGAGCAAGCGUUGUUCGGAUUUACUGGGCGUAAAGGGCGCGUAGGCGGCCAGCACUAGUCAGUUGUGAAAUCUCCGAGCUUAACUCGGAACGGUCAACUGAUACUGUGCGGCUAGAGUGCAGAAGGGGCAACUGGAAUUCUUGGUGUAGCGGUGAAAUGCGUAGAUAUCAAGAGGAACACCUGCGGCGAAGGCGGGUUGCUGGGCUGACACUGACGCUGAGGCGCGAAAGCUAGGGGAGCAAACGGG
rnacentral:rRNA from 1 species